rnacentral:rRNA from 1 species
CCUACGGGGGGCUGCAGUGGGGAAUUUUGGACAAUGGGGGCAACCCUGAUCCAGCCAUGCCGCGUGCGGGAAGAAGGCCUUCGGGUUGUAAACCGCUUUUGUCAGGGAAGAAAUCUCCUGGGCUAAUACCUCGGGGGGAUGACGGUACCUGGAGAAUAAGCACCGGCUAACUACGUGCCAGCAGCCGCGGUAAUACGUAGGGUGCAAGCGUUACGCGGAAUUACUGGGGGUAGUUCGUGCGCAGGCGGGUGAAAUCCCCGGGCUUAACCUGGGAACUGCGUAGGUGACUGCAUAGCUGGAGUGCGGCAGAGGGGGAUGGAAUUCCGCGUGUAGCAGUGAAAUGCGUAGAUAUGCGGAGGAACACCGAUGGCGAAGGCAAUCCCCUGGGCCUGCACUGACGCUCAUGCACGAAAGCGUGGGGAGCAAACAGGAUUAGAUACCCCAGUAGUC